UACGGAGGGGGCUAGCGUUGUUCGGAAUUACUGGGCGUAAAGGGCUCGUAGGCGGCCAACUAAGUCAGACGUGAAAUCCCUCAGCUUAACUGGGGAACUGCGUCUGAUACUGGAUGGCUUGGAUUCGGGAGAGGAAUGCGGAAUUCCAGGUGUAGCGGUGAAAUGCGUAGAUAUCUGGAGGAACACCGGUGGCGAAGGCGGCAUCCUGGACCGACACUGACGCUGAGGAGCGAAAGCCAGGGGAGCAAACGGG
rnacentral:rRNA from 1 species